rnacentral:miRNA from 1 species
GCGCCCCGGGGCCCGCGACCGAAACGGAGCUGGCGGCGGCGGCCGAGCCGGGGGCGGAGAC